rnacentral:tRNA from 1 species
AAUCCGUCGACUUUAUAAAUCAUGAGG